rnacentral:rRNA from 1 species
AUUGAACGCUGGCGGCAUGCCUUACACAUGCAAGUCGAACGGUAACAGGUCUUCGGAUGCUGACGAGUGGCGAACGGGUGAGUAAUACAUCGGAACGUGCCUAGUAGUGGGGGAUAACUACUCGAAAGAGUGGCUAAUACCGCAUGAGAUCUACGGAUGAAAGCAGGGGAUCGCAAGACCUUGUGCUACUAGAGCGGCCGAUGGCAGAUUAGGUAGUUGGUGGGAUAAAAGCUUACCAAGCCGACGAUCUGUAGCUGGUCUGAGAGGACGAUCAGCCACACUGGGACUGAGACAGGGGCAAGACUCCUACGGGAGGCAGCAAUGGGGAGUAUUGGACAAUGGGCGAAAGCCUGAUCCAGCAAUGCCGCGUGCAGGAUGAAGGCCUUCGGGUUGUAAACUGCUUUUGUACGGAACGAAAAGCCCCGGGUUAAUACCCUGGGGUCAUGACGGUACCGUAAGAAUAAGCACCGGCUAACUACGUGCCAGCCGCCGCCGUAA